rnacentral:rRNA from 1 species
GAAUUGACGGGGGCCCGCACAAGCAGUGGAGUAUGUGGUUUAAUUCGAAGCAACGCGAAGAACCUUACCAGGGCUUGACAUGCAGGUGAAUAUGUUAGAGAUAGCAUAGUCCUUCGGGACGCCUGUGCAGGUGGUGCAUGGUUGUCGUCAGCUCGUGUCGUGAGAUGUUGGGUUAAGUCCCGCAACGAGCGCAACCCCUGUUGUUAGUUGCCAUCAUUCAGUUGGGCACUCUAACGAGACUGCCGGUGACAAAUCGGAGGAAGGUGGGGAUGACGUCAAAUCAUCAUGCCCCUUAUGACCUGGGCUACACACGUACUACAAUGGUUAUAACAGCAGGAAGCGAAGGCGUGAGCCGGAGCCAAUCCCAAAAAAUAGUCCCAGUUCAGAUUGUGGGCUGCAACCCGCCCACAUGAAGUCGGAAUUGCUAGUAAUGGCAGGUCAGCAUACUGCCGUGAAUACGUUCCCGGGCCUUGUACACACCG